CGCCUCUAGGUCCCUUGCCCCGGGGAACUAAAUAUUGGUCUGAGAGGCCACGAAAUGAGGAAAAGUAAAGUUGACGUGGACUUGGAGUCUGUGGCCACGUGCGCAUCCACUUGAGCCACGU
rnacentral:snoRNA from 1 species